UACGGAGGGGGCUAGCGUUGUUCGGAAUUACUGGGCGUAAAGCGCACGUAGGCGGCUUUGUAAGUUAGAGGUGAAAGCCCGGAGCUCAACUCCGGAACUGCCUUUAAGACUGCAUCGCUUGAACGUCGGAGAGGUAAGUGGAAUUCCGAGUGUAGAGGUGAAAUUCGUAGAUAUUCGGAAGAACACCGGUGGCGAAAGCGCUCUACUGGGCCUGCACUGACACUGAGGGACGAAAGCUAGGGGAGCGAAAGGG
rnacentral:rRNA from 1 species